UACGAAGGGGGCUAGCGUUGUUCGGAAUAACUGGGCGUAAAGCGCACGUAGGCGGAUUGUUAAGUCAGAGGUGAAAUCCCGGGGCUCAGCCCCGGAACUGCCUUUGAUACUGGCAAUCUUGAGUCCGAGAGAGGUGAGUGGAAUUCCGAGUGUAGAGGUGAAAUUCGUAGAUAUUCGGAGGAACACCAGUGGCGAAGGCGGCUCACUGGCUCGGUACUGACGCUGAGGUGCGAAAGCGUGGGGAGCAAACAGG
rnacentral:rRNA from 1 species